AACAAGAAAUGUUUAUCUUCUUCAUCUUCUCUCUUCUUCUUCCUGCCUUUCUCUGAACUCUUCUGAAUCUCAUCUCUAUUUCUUCUGUAUCUCACCUCAUUUCUGUUACUUCACUUGAUAAGCCAUUUUGGUACUUGAUAAUCCAGAAUCGAAAUUCUUCUGCUGGUGAAACACACGCCAAGUGUUCGACAAAACGCCCAGGCGAGAUUUCUGCAUUUUUCCUUGGUGUGGGUUCAGAUUUGGUCGUGAGACCUUGAGGCAGCUCGUGAUGUUCUUGUUUCCUCUUCUCAGGUGGUUCUUCAGUUGCAUUCACCGGAAAAAGCGUAGCAAAAAUUUCACGAAUCCCUUUUCGAUACUCCUCUUGUUGAGCUUCAAGCCUUUGGACGAUGGAAUCUAGCUUUUCCUCCACCUUUUCAACAAAUCGAUCGAGUGUUGCUUCUAGAUCAGAGAUUGUGGCGGCUUGAUUGGUUUGAGCAGCUUGAGUAGUCUUGAGUUCAACUCUCAAUGAAAGCACCAAUUGAUAAGUACCAAAAUGGCUUAUCAAGAUAUGUAACAGAAAGAGAUGAGAUAAUAGAAGAAAUAGGUUGAGAUGCAGAAGAAUUUCAGAAAAGGAAAGGAAGGAGAAAGAAGAUGAAGAAGAUAAACAUUCUUA
rnacentral:sRNA from 1 species